rnacentral:rRNA from 1 species
UACGGAGGGAGCUAGCGUUGUUCGGAAUUACUGGGCGUAAAGCGCACGUAGGCGGCUUUGUAAGUUAGAGGUGAAAGCCUGGGGCUCAACUCCAGAACUGCCUUUAAAACUGCAUCGCUUGAAUCCAGGAGAGGUGAGUGGAAUUCCGAGUGUAGAGGUGAAAUUCGUAGAUAUUCGCAAGAACACCUAUGGCGAAGGCAGCUCUCUGGGACGGUACUGACGCUGAGACGCGAAAGCGUGGGGAGCGAACAGG